rnacentral:lncRNA from 10 species
UCAAUCUGGGGUCACUCCCAAGCCUGGAAGAGAAUGAGAAGGAGGCAGUAGAAUAUCAUUAUAAUCAUACUACUUGUCCCAGGGGAUCCAUGUAUUCUACUGAAGAGUGGGAGUAGUUCAAAAUGGAGAAAUGAGGAAACCAUGACAAAGAGUCUGGAUAAUCAUUAGAACUGAUUAAAGUCAGGCUGCCCUAGAUUGAAAAGUGUGUGCCUCUGCUCACAGUGGAUCUGAAGUGGAUAUUGGAAGUACAUGCCCUCCUUGGAUGCUGAAUAGCUUUCUCAGGCCAUUCACAUGAAAACAGCUUGGAGAUGAAGAAAUAAGAAUGGAAGCAUAAUCAUUUGUCCGAGGUCACAGAGGGAGAUGAUUACACAGCUGGAAUGUAAGCCUCAGUACUUUACUGAAUCCUUGGCUUUGUCCAUGGGCCCAGCUACAGGCAUAAAGCUUUUCUCUUCCCCAGCAGUGACUUCGAGUACCAGCUUUCAAAUUUAUUUGACAUUGAAUCUAAGCUUUGUGACCAGUAUGUAGAAGGAGAAGAAGGGGAGGAAUUACUUAUCCUUUGGCAUACAUUAGCAUGCAAAUAAAUCCUUUCUCUGCAUUGUGGAAGGGUCUGAAAUUAUCACAUAUACAAUGUAUCUUUUAUCAAUGGCCUUGCAUACAAAUUUUACUUUGAAGAAUCCAGAUUUAGAGGUCUUCUCCAAACAUUUGCAUUGUUUCUUUUUCUUAGGAUCAGAACUUCUACCUAUUGUCAUUUUAAGAAAAAAGAUCAUGAAUUAAUUAAUUUAUUCAUUAUUUACACCCUUAUAUUCUUUCCCAAAUGUUUUAAUGUGGCUUACAUUGUAUACAUGUACACAAUAAAUAUUUAUAUUUAAAUAAGUUAUAAUCACAGAAUGAGAAUAUUAUUACAACCACUCAUACUCAUUCAAAUAGCUUGAUUAUAUCAUUGAGCUUUUCUUUUAGUUCUGGGUUUUUUGCUGCCUAGUUUAAAUCAGAAUGGCAUCUGAUUUAAUUAAUGGAAACUGAGUUUAUUUGAUUGAUGGAAACAAGAUGAUUUCAAGUGUGAUGCACUUUUUCUGUACUAACGUUUGAGAUACAUUUAUUACAACUGGCCACUUCAUAAUGGGCCAUAAGCAUUGUUUAAAGACAAUGGCUACUAUUGUUUGAAAGCUAAGGAAAGAUCCAAUGCUACCAGAUGUAUAUUGGCUGAGAAAUGAUCAGCUGAAACUACAGGCUGAAAUGCUGUAUAAG